GUAAAGUGGUAAUACGCUGGGCUUGUAAUCGUGGGGUCCCGGGUUCGAUUCCCGG
rnacentral:tRNA from 1 species